rnacentral:sRNA from 1 species
UAUUCUAUUUUUUCUGAGGGUCGGAUAAUUUGUAGAAAAUUCUAAGAAUUAUGCCAAAUAUUGUUCAUUUUUUAU